rnacentral:tRNA from 1 species
GGAGGGGUCGCAUAGCCUGGUCUAGUGCGCACGCCUGGAGAGCGUGUGUCCCGAAAGGGAUCGCGGGUUCAAAUCCCGCCCCCUCCG